GUUGAGACUUGUUUAGUUUAUUUAUUGGAAGGAGCGACCCGUGGCGUUGCCCACGUUGACCUGUAGUUACGUGUGCAAUUUUUCUACAACAGUUCUGACCGAUCUGAGCCGAGAGUCAAAUAUGGAUAAAUAAAAUGAAACGAAAGUGUGUCGCUAAAGUGGCGCGCCCCGGUGGCUGAGAAUUAAAGAAUUCAAACAAACCUGCAUUAUGAGCCCACUACACAUGCUUAUUUUUAAUUGUGCCGCAAGGGGCAGCUGAUAAUAGGGAUAAAUGACACAAUUACACAAAAAUACAUAUAAAUAUAUAUAUUACUUGUUGUUUAUUGUUUAUAUAAAUACUUUUUACAGACAAAAAAAUUAUUUGGAGCAUUUUUAGGAAUAACUUUAAAACAGACGACUUUUGUGAUAGGAAGCCGUGCAUUUUCUAACAGCCUUUAAGACACCAAUAAACAGCUACCAUC